CAGUCGCCGCGGUAAUACGUAGGUGGCAAGCGUUGUCCGGAAUUAUUGGGCGUAAAGCGCGCGCAGGUGGUUCAAUAAGUCUGAUGUGAAAGCCCACGGCUCAACCGUGGAGGGUCAUUGGAAACUGUUAAACUUGAGUGCAGGAGAGAAAAGUGGAAUUCCUAGUGUAGCGGUGAAAUGCGUAGAGAUUAGGAGGAACACCAGUGGCGAAGGCGGCUUUUUGGCCUGUAACUGACACUGAGGCGCGAAAGCGUGGGGAGCAAACAGGAUUAGAUACCCCAGUAGUCCCUGUCUCUUAUAA
rnacentral:rRNA from 1 species